AUGGAAGAACAAGUGAUCAAUGAGGAGUACAAAAUAUGGAAAAAGAACACUCCUUUUCUUUGUGAUGUGGUGAUGACCCAUGCUCUGGAGUGGCCUAGCCUAACUGCCUAGUGGCUUCUAGAUGUAACCAGACCAGAAGGGAAAAGAUUUCAGCAUUCAUCGACUUGUCCUGGGGACACACACAUCAGAUGAACAAAACCAUCUUGUUAUAGUCAGUGUGCAACUCCCUAAUGAUGAUGCUCAGUUUGAUGUGUCACACUACAACAGUGAGAAAGGAGAAUUCAGAGGUUUUGGUUCAGUUAGUGGAAAACAUGAAAUAGAAAUCAAGAUCAAGCAUGAAGGGAGAAGUAAACAGGGCCCGUUAUAUGCCCCAGAACCCUUGUAUCGUCGCAACAAAGACUUCUUCCAGUGAUGUUCUUGUCUUUGACUAUACAAAACAUCCUUCUAAACCAGAUCCUUCUAGAGAAUGCAACCCAGACUUGCAUCUCCGUGGACAUCAGAAGGAAGGCUAUGGGCUUUCUUGGAACCCAAAUCUCAGUGGGCACUUACUUAGUGCUUCAGAUGACCACACCAUCUGCCUGUGGGACAUCAGUGCUGUUCCAAAGGAGGGAAAAGUGGUGGAGGCGAAGACCAUCUUUACAGGGCAUACAGCAGCAGAUGUUUCCUGGCAUCUGCUCCAUGAGUCUCUGUUUGGAUCAGUUGCUGAUGAUCAGAAACUUAUGAUUUGGAAUACUCAUUCAAACAAUACUUUCAACCACUCAGUUGAUGUUCACACUGCUAAAGUGAACUGCCUCUCUUUCAAUCCUUAUAGUGAGUUCAUUCUUGCCACAGGAUCAGCUGACAAGACUUUGCCUUGUGGGAUCUGAGAAAUCUGAAACUUACGUUGCAUUCCUUUGAAUCAUAUAAGGAUGAAAUAUUCCAGAUUCAGUAGUCACUUCACAAUGAGACUGUUUUGGCUUCCAGUGGUACUGAUUACAGACUGAAUGUCUGGGAUUUAAGUAAAACUGGAGAAGAACAAUCCCCAGAAAAUGCAGAAGACGGGCCACCAGAGUUGUUGUUUAUUCAUGGUUGUCACACUGCCAAGAUAUCUGAUUUCUCCUGGAAUCCCAGUGACCCUUGGGUGAUUUGUUCUGAAUCAGAAGACAAUAUCAUGCAAGUGUGGCAAAUGGCAGAGAACAUUUAUAAUGAUGAAGACCCUGAAGGAAGCGUGGAUCUGGAAGGGCAAGGGUCCUAGAUAUACAUGUCUUUACCUCUUGUGAUUUUAGACUCCCCUUUUUUCUUCUCAACUCUGAGACUGAUUUAACACUGGUUUUGAGACACGGACUUUGUUCAGCUAUCCCUCUGCAUAAUAGGUACCACCAAUAAUGCUAUUAACCCAAACAGUGGGUGUUUUCUAAAUGGGGGCUUGAUUUAGCAAAGCCACAGACUUACACUGAAAUUUUCUUCAGGAAUUUUAUAGUAAUAAACCCAGGUCUAAAGCAGCUACAGAAAGAGGAAUAUUAUGUGUGAUUAUUUUUCUUCUUAUGCUAUAUCCCCCAGUUAUUCAGACUCAUUUAAGUAAAGGUUAGAGUGAGUGAGGAAUAGAGCCAAAUGAGGUAGAUGUCUGAGCCAUGAAGUAUAAACAUUGAAAGAUGUCACUUUUAUUCAGGAAAUAGGGGCAAUUCAAGCUAUAUGGAUUCCUACUCAAAAAUCUUGACACCUGACUUUCCAGGAUGCACAUUUUCAUACGUAGACCAGUUUUCUCUUGGUUUCUUCAGUUAAAU